rnacentral:rRNA from 1 species
GAUGAACGCUGACAGAAUGCUUAACACAUGCAAGUCUACUUGAACUUCGGUUUGGGUGGCGGACGGGUGAGUAACGCGUAAAGAACUUGCCUCACAGUUUGGGACAACAUUUGGAAACGAAUGCUAAUACCGAAUAUUAUGAUCGAAUGACAUCAUUUGAUUAUGAAAGCUAUAUGCGCUGUGAGAGAGCUUUGCGUCCCAUUAGCUAGUUGGAGAGGUAACGGCUCACCAAGGCGAUGAUGGGUAGCCGGCCUGAGAGGGUGAACGGCCACAAGGGGACUGAGACACGGCCCUUACUCCUACGGGAGGCAGCAGUGGGGAAUAUUGGACAAUGGACCAAAAGUCUGAUCCAGCAAUUCUGUGUGCACGAUGAAGUUUUUCGGAAUGUAAAGUGCUUUCAGUUGGGAAGAAGAAA